rfam:Schistosoma rodhaini strain Burundi genome assembly, scaffold: SROB_scaffold0000004
AUCCAGUUGAUGCGUCCUAAAUAAGACGAAACGCGCGUCAAACUGGAU